UUAAGUUAUUAAGGGCGCACGGUGGAUGCCUUGGCACUAGAAGCCGAUGAAGGACGUUACUAACGACGAUAUGCUUUGGGGAGCUGUAAGUAAGCUUUGAUCCAGAGAUUUCCGAAUGGGGAAACCCAGCAUGAGUUAUGUCAUGUUAUCGAUAUGUGAAUACAUAGCAUAUCAGAAGGCACACCCGGAGAACUGAAACAUCUUAGUACCCGGAGGAAGAGAAAGAAAAUUCGAUUCCCUUAGUAGCGGCGAGCGAAACGGGAAGAGCCCAAACCAACAAGCUUGCUUGUUGGGGUUGUAGGACACUCUAUACGGAGUUACAAAGGACGACAUUAGACGAAUCAUCUGGAAAGAUGAAUCAAAGAAGGUAAUAAUCCUGUAGUCGAAAAUGUUGUCUCUCUUGAGUGGAUCCUGAGUACGACGGAGCACGUGAAAUUCCGUCGGAAUCUGGGAGGACCAUCUCCUAAGGCUAAAUACUCUCUAGUGACCGAUAGUGAACCAGUACCGUGAGGGAAAGGUGAAAAGCACCCCGGAAGGGGAGUGAAAUAGAACCUGAAACCGUGUGCUUACAAGUAGUCAGAGCCCGUUAAUGGGUGAUGGCGUGCCUUUUGUAGAAUGAACCGGCGAGUUACGAUUUGAUGCAAGGUUAAGCAGUAAAUGUGGAGCCGUAGCGAAAGCGAGUCUGAAUAGGGCGUUUAGUAUUUGGUCGUAGACCCGAAACCAGGUGAUCUACCCUUGGUCAGGUUGAAGUUCAGGUAACACUGAAUGGAGGACCGAACCGACUUACGUUGAAAAGUGAGCGGAUGAACUGAGGGUAGCGGAGAAAUUCCAAUCGAACCUGGAGAUAGCUGGUUCUCUCCGAAAUAGCUUUAGGGCUAGCCUCAAGUGAUGAUUAUUGGAGGUAGAGCACUGUUUGGACGAGGGGCCCCUCUCGGGUUACCGAAUUCAGACAAACUCCGAAUGCCAAUUAAUUUAACUUGGGAGUCAGAACAUGGGUGAUAAGGUCCGUGUUCGAAAGGGAAACAGCCCAGACCACCAGCUAAGGUCCCAAAAUAUAUGUUAAGUGGAAAAGGAUGUGGCGUUGCCCAGACAACUAGGAUGUUGGCUUAGAAGCAGCCAUCAUUUAAAGAGUGCGUAAUAGCUCACUAGUCGAGUGACACUGCGCCGAAAAUGUACCGGGGCUAAACAUAUUACCGAAGCUGUGGAUUGUCCUUUGGACAAUGGUAGGAGAGCGUUCUAAGGGCGUUGAAGCAUGAUCGUAAGGACAUGUGGAGCGCUUAGAAGUGAGAAUGCCGGUGUGAGUAGCGAAAGACGGGUGAGAAUCCCGUCCACCGAUUGACUAAGGUUUCCAGAGGAAGGCUCGUCCGCUCUGGGUUAGUCGGGUCCUAAGCUGAGGCCGACAGGCGUAGGCGAUGGAUAACAGGUUGAUAUUCCUGUACCACCUAUAAUCGUUUUAAUCGAUGGGGGGACGCAGUAGGAUAGGCGAAGCGUGCGAUUGGAUUGCACGUCUAAGCAGUAAGGCUGAGUAUUAGGCAAAUCCGGUACUCGUUAAGGCUGAGCUGUGAUGGGGAGAAGACAUUGUGUCUUCGAGUCGUUGAUUUCACACUGCCGAGAAAAGCCUCUAGAUAGAAAAUAGGUGCCCGUACCGCAAACCGACACAGGUAGUCAAGAUGAGAAUUCUAAGGUGAGCGAGCGAACUCUCGUUAAGGAACUCGGCAAAAUGACCCCGUAACUUCGGGAGAAGGGGUGCUCUUUAGGGUUAACGCCCAGAAGAGCCGCAGUGAAUAGGCCCAAGCGACUGUUUAUCAAAAACACAGGUCUCUGCUAAACCGUAAGGUGAUGUAUAGGGGCUGACGCCUGCCCGGUGCUGGAAGGUUAAGAGGAGUGGUUAGCUUCUGCGAAGCUACGAAUCGAAGCCCCAGUAAACGGCGGCCGUAACUAUAACGGUCCUAAGGUAGCGAAAUUCCUUGUCGGGUAAGUUCCGACCCGCACGAAAGGCGUAACGAUUUGGGCACUGUCUCAACGAGAGACUCGGUGAAAUCAUAGUACCUGUGAAGAUGCAGGUUACCCGCGACAGGACGGAAAGACCCCGUGGAGCUUUACUGUAGCCUGAUAUUGAAAUUCGGCACAGCUUGUACAGGAUAGGUAGGAGCCUUUGAAACGUGAGCGCUAGCUUACGUGGAGGCGCUGGUGGGAUACUACCCUAGCUGUGUUGGCUUUCUAACCCGCACCACUUAUCGUGGUGGGAGACAGUGUCAGGCGGGCAGUUUGACUGGGGCGGUCGCCUCCUAAAAGGUAACGGAGGCGCUCAAAGGUUCCCUCAGAAUGGUUGGAAAUCAUUCAUAGAGUGUAAAGGCAUAAGGGAGCUUGACUGCGAGACCUACAAGUCGAGCAGGGUCGAAAGACGGACUUAGUGAUCCGGUGGUUCCGCAUGGAAGGGCCAUCGCUCAACGGAUAAAAGCUACCCCGGGGAUAACAGGCUUAUCUCCCCCAAGAGUUCACAUCGACGGGGAGGUUUGGCACCUCGAUGUCGGCUCAUCGCAUC
rnacentral:rRNA from 2 species